rnacentral:rRNA from 1 species
UACGAAGGGGGCUAGCGUUGCUCGGAAUCACUGGGCGUAAAGCGCACGUAGGCGGAUUGUUAAGUCAGGGGUGAAAUCCUGGAGCUCAACUCCAGAACUGCCUUUGAUACUGGCGAUCUUGAGUCCGGGAGAGGUGAGUGGAACUGCGAGUGUAGAGGUGAAAUUCGUAGAUAUUCGCAAGAACACCAGUGGCGAAGGCGGCUCACUGGCCCGGUACUGACGCUGAGGUACGAAAGCGUGGGGAGCAAACAGG